GUUUACUUGAGCAGUCAAUGGAAUGUAAUUUGGGUAUCGAACGGUUAAUUGCAGAGGAAUAUGGUGAUCUAAUAGAGGGAAAGGGUUAAAUGCCAAGUGAAUGUGAUAAUGCUAAUUAGGAAGGGAUAUGGAAAAAAACCACCUUCAGAGGUAUGUGGGAAUCUACUUUGGCUAGGAAUGUAGCUAUGUAAAAUGUGGAGUGAGUGUCAAUGCUAACAGCAAUUAGGCCCUGGGGAGAUAGCGCAGCUAAGCGGACAAGGGCACAUGUUGGAGUGUGGGGAUAGACGAAUGGGAUUAGUUGGGAAAGAGUGUGUGGGUGGGAUUAUGUUCUGUGUAAAUUAGUGUGGGGGAGAUCUUACCUCAGUGCCACUUGGGAUACGGGCCAGCAAACAGCUUCCUGUCCUGCUCCUGUUUGCCUGGGCCUGUAGUUUCACAGCUUGAGGGAUGGAGGUUGAGGCUUUCUGGCUUCCCUCAGGGCUGCUG